GCGCGAAAACUUUACAAUGCGGGCAACCGUGAUAAGGGAACCUCGAGUGCCUGUAUAUGCAGGCUGUCUGGGUGUCUAAAACACACCUAAAGAAAGGGCCGGGCAAGACCGGUGCCAGCCGCCGCGGUAAUACCGGCGGCUCGAGUGGUGGCCACUUUUAUUGGGCUUAAAGCGUUCGUAGCUGGGUUAUUAAGUCCCUUGGGAAAUCCGACGGCUUAACCGUCGGGCGUCUAAGGGAUACUGGCAAUCUUGGAACCGGGAGAGGUGAGGGGUACUUCGGGGGUAGGAGUGAAAUCCUGUGAUCCUCGAGGGACCACCUGUGGCGAAGGCGCCUCACCAGAACGGCUUCGACAGUGAGGGACGAAAGCUGGGGGAGCAAACCGGAUUAGAUACCCGGGUAGUCCCAGCCGUAAACGAUGUGCGUUAGGUGUAUCGGUGACCACGAGUCACCGAGGUGCCGAAGGGAAACCGUGAAACGUACCGCCUGGGAAGUACGGUCGCAAGGCUGAAACUUAAAGGAAUUGGCGGGGGAGCACCACAACAGGUGGAGCCUGCGGUUUAAUUGACUCAACGCCGGAAAUCUCACCGGAUAAGACAGCUGAAUGAUUGUCGGGCUGAAGACUCUACAUGACUAGCU
rnacentral:rRNA from 1 species